rnacentral:piRNA from 1 species
UAAGUCUUUCGCUCCUAUCUGACG